AAACUUACCAGGUCAAGACAUGGGCGUGAUUGACAGGCUAAUGACUUUUCUCGAUUCCAUGGAUGGUGGUGCAUGGUCGCACUUAGUUGGUGCAGUGAUUUGUCAGGUUUAUUCCGGUAACGAACGAGACCUCGGCCUUGUAAAUAGCUAUGCUGCUUACAGGGACAUUGGCGGCUACGCCAAGGAAGCUCGAGGCAAUUGCAGAUCUGGAAUGCCCUUAGAUGUCCUGGGUCGCACGCGUGCUACAAUGACGCCACGAACGAGCUUGCGUGAUGAAAGUUACGCAUAAUCAGCAGUCGGCGUCUUAAGGGAUAGUCUCUUGUAACUGUGGGACUCCAACUAGGAAUGUCUCGUAAGCACAAGUCAACAUCUUGUGUUGAUUACGUCCCUGCUCUUUGUACACACCGCCCGUCGCUCCUACCGAUCGAGUGUUUAGGUGAAUUUGAUGGACGUAAGGAAGUCAAAUAAACCUGAGCACUAGAGAAGAGAAGUCGAUAUUU
rnacentral:rRNA from 1 species